rnacentral:rRNA from 1 species
AUUGAACGCUGGCGGCAGGCCUAACACAUGCAAGUCGAACGAGUGGCGGACGGGUGAGUAAUGUCUGGGAAACUGCCCGAUGGAGGGGGAUAACUACUGGAAACGGUAGCUAAUACCGCAUACCAUCGGAUGUGCCCAGAUUGGAUUAGCUAGUUGGUGGGGUAACGGCUCACCUAGGCGACGAUCCCUAGCUGGUCUGAGAGGAUGACCAGCCAUACUGGGACAAUGAAGCAGUCCAUAAUCCCACGGGAGGCAGCAGUGGGGAAUAUUGCACAAUGGGCACAAGCCUGCUGCAGCCAUGCCGCGUGUAUGAAGAAGGCCUUCGGGUUGUAAAGUACUUUCAGCGGGGAGACGUUACCCGAAGAAGAAGCACCGGCUAACUCCGUGCCAGCAGCCGCGGUAGUAC